CAGCCGCCACGGUAAAACGGAGGGGGCUAGCGUUGUUCGGAAUUACUGGGCGUAAAGCGUACGUAGGCGGUUUUGUAAGUUAGAGGUGAAAGCCCGGAGCUCAACUCCGGAAUUGCCUUUAAGACUGCAUCACUUGAAUCGUGGAGAGGUGAGUGGAAUUCCGAGUGUAGAGGUGAAAUUCGUAGAUAUUCGGAAGAACACCAGUGGCGAAGGCGGCUCACUGGACACGUAUUGACGCUGAGGUACGAAAGCGUGGGGAGCAAACAGGAUUAGAUACCCCGGUAGUCCCUGUCUCUUAUAC
rnacentral:rRNA from 1 species